GGAGAUGUGGAUGAGUGGCUGAAAUCACCGCCCUGCUAAGGCGACAUACGGGGUAACCUGUAUCGAGGGUUCGAAUCCCUCCGUCUCCGCCA
rnacentral:tRNA from 4 species